AUUGAACGCUGGCGGCAGGCCUAACACAUGCAAGUCGAACGAGUGGCGGACGGGUGAGUAAUGUCUGGGAAACUGCCUGAUGGAGGGGGAUAACUACGGGAAACGGUAGCUAAUACCGCGUACCAUCGGCUGUGCACAUGUGGGAUUAGCUAGUUGGUGGGGUAAAGGCUCACCAAGCCGACGAGCUCUAGCUGGUCUGAGAGGAUGACCAGCCACACUGGAACUGAGACACGGCCCAGACUCCUACGGGAGGCAGCAGUGGGGAAUAUUGCGCAAUGGGCGCAAGCCUGACGCAGCCAUGCCGCGUGUAUGAAGAAGGCCUUCGGGUUGUAAAGUUCUUUAGGUGGCGAGGCGUUACCUGCAGAAGAAGCACCGGCUAACGCCGUGCCAGCAGCCGCGGUAAUAC
rnacentral:rRNA from 1 species